GCAAUGGGAUGGCCGCCUACGGCGGUCUCAUUCCCUUCGCGUCCACCUUCAUGCAGUUCACGGGGUAUGCCCUGGGGGCGGUG
rnacentral:sRNA from 11 species